CACGUAGGGGCCAAGCGUUGUCCGGAUUUAUUGGGCGUAAAGCGCGCGUAGGCGGCUUUGCAAGCCGGAUGUGAAAUCCCCGGGCUUAACCUGGGAACUGCAUUCGGGACUGCAUUGCUAGAGUAUGGGAGAGGGAAGUGGAAUUUCAGGUGUAGCGGUGAAAUGCGUAGAUAUCUGAAGGAACAUCAGUGGCGAAAGCGACUUCCUGGACCAAUACUGACGCUCAUGUGCGAAAGCGUGGGGAGCAAACAGG
rnacentral:rRNA from 1 species